rnacentral:rRNA from 1 species
UACGUAGGGCGCGAGCGUUGUCCGGAAUUAUUGGGCGUAAAGAGCUCGUAGGCGGUUUGUCGCGUCGGUUGUGAAAACCCAAGGCUCAACCUUGGGCCUGCAAUCGAUACGGGCAGACUAGAGUACUGCAGGGGAGACUGGAAUUCCUGGUGUAGCGGUGGAAUGCGCAGAUAUGUGGAGGAACACCAGUGGCGAAGGCGGCUUUCUGGUCUGUAACUGACGCUGAGGCGCGAAAGCUAGGGGAGCAAACAGG